GUAACCUGCCUCAAAGAGGGGGAUAGCCUCCCGAAAGGGAGAUUAAUACCGCAUGACAAAUAUAAUCCGCAUGGAUUAUAUUUUAAAGGAGAAAUCCGCUUUGAGAUGGACCCGCGGCGCAUUAGCUAGUUGGCAGGGUAACGGCCUACCAAGGCGACGAUGCGUAGCCGACCUGAGAGGGUGAACGGCCACAUUGGAACUGAGAGACGGUCCAGACUCCUACGGGAGGCAGCAGUGGGGAAUAUUGCACAAUGGGCGGAAGCCUGAUGCAGCAACGCCGCGUGAGUGAAGAAGGUUUUCGGAUUGUAAAGCUCUGUCAUCUGGGACGAUAAUGACGGUACCAGAUGAGGAAGCCACGGCUAACUACGUGCCAGCAGCCGCGGUAAUACGUAGGUGGCAAGCGUUGUCCGGAAUUACUGGGCGUAAAGGGUGCGCAGGCGGACAUUUAAGUGAGAUGUGAAAUACCCGGGCUUAACCCGGGCAGUGCACUUCAAACUGGGUGUCUGGAGUGCAGGAGAGGAGAACGGAAUUCCUAGUGUAGCGGUGAAAUGCGUAGAGAUUAGGAAGAACACCAGUGGCGAAGGCGGUUCUCUGGACUGAAACUGACGCUGAGGCACGAAAGCGUGGGUAGCAAACAGGAUUAGAUACCCUGGUAGUCCACGCCGUAAACGAUGAGUACUAGGUGUAGGAGGUAUCGACCCCUUCUGUGCCGCAGUAAACACAAUAAGUACUCCGCCUGGGAAGUACGAUCGCAAGAUUAAAACUCAA
rnacentral:rRNA from 1 species